rfam:Camelus ferus unplaced genomic scaffold scaffold633, whole genome shotgun sequence.
GUGGGUAUAGCUCAGUUGUAGAGCGCGUGCCUAGCAUGCACGAGGUCCAGUGUUCAAUCCCCAGUACCUCCA